ensembl:miRNA ptr-mir-516b-1 ptr-mir-516b-1
UCUCAGACUGUGACCAUCUGGAGGUAAGAAGCACUUUCUGUUUUGUGAAAGAAAAGAAAGUGCUUCCUUUCAGAGGGUUACUCUUUGAGA